UAUUCUGAGGCGUGAUGGGGAAGGCCAUAUAGGCCGAAGUACAUGAUUCCAUGCUUCCAAGAAAAGCAUCUAGAGAGAGAAGUAGUGCCCGUACCGCAAACCGACACAGGUAGAUGAGGAGAGAAUCCUAAGGCCGGCGGAAGAAUUGCAGUUAAGGAACUAGGCAAAUUGACCCCGUAAGUUCGCGAGAAGGGGUGCCUGCGAGAGCAGGCCGCAGAGAAUAGGCCCAAGCAACUGUUUAGCAAAAACACAGGUCUCUGCUAAAGCGUAAGCUGAUGUAUAGGGGCCGACGCCUGCCCGGUGCUGGAAGGUUAAGGGGAACACUUAGCGCAAGCGAAGGUGUGAACUUAAGCCCCAGUAAACGGCGGCCGUAACAAUAACGGUCCUAAGGUAGCGAAAUUCCUUGUCAGGUAAGUUCUGACCCGCACGAAUGGCGUAAUGACUUGAGCACUGUCUCAACUGCAAAUCCGGCGAAGUUGUAGUGCGAGUGAAGAUGCUCGCUACCCGCGAUUGGACGGAAAGACCCCGUAGAGCUUUACUGUAGCUUAGCAUUGAAUUCCGGUAUUGUCUGUACAGGAUAGGUGGGAGACUGGGAAACUAGGGCGUCAGCCUUAGUGGAGUCAACCUUGGGAUACCACCCUGACAGUACUGGGGUUCUAACAGGACGCCAUGAAUCUGGUGACUGGACAUUGUUAGGUGGGCAGUUUGACUGGGGCGGUCGUCUCCUAAAAAGUAACGGAGGCGCCCAAAGGUUCCCUCAGAACGGUCGGAAAUCGUUCGUAGAGUGCAAAGGCAGAAGGGAGCCUGACUGCGAGACAUACAAGUCGAGCAGGGACGAAAGUCGGGCUUAGUGAUCCGGUGGUACCUCGUGGGAGGGCCAUCGCUCAACGGAUAAAAGCUACCUCGGGGAUAACAGGCUGAUCUCCCCCAAGAGUCCACAUCGACGGGGAGGUUUGGCACCUCGAUGUCGGCUCGUCGCAUCCUGGGGCCGUAGUAGGUCCCAAGGGUUGGGCUUCGCCCAUUAAAGCGGCACGCGAGCUGGGUUCAGAACGUCGUGAGACAGUUCGGUCCCUAUCCGUCGCGGGCGUAGGAAAUUUGAGAGGAGCUGUCCUUAGUACGAGAGGACCGGGAUGGACUGACCUCUGGUGUACCAGUUGUUCCGCCAGGAGCAUGGCUGGGUAGCUAAGUCGGGAAGGGAUAAACGCUGAAAGCAUCUAAGCGUGAAGCCUCCCUCAAGAUGAGAUUUCCCAUAGCAUAAGCUAGUAAGACCCCUUGAAGAACACAAGGUUGAUAGGUCAGAGGUGUAAGUGCGGUAACGUAUUUAGCUGACUGAUACUAAUAGGUCGAGGGCUUGACCAA
rnacentral:rRNA from 1 species